GCGCCCGUAGCUCAGUUGGCAGAGCAGUGGUAUAGUUUUCCACAGUCCCGGGUUCAAAUCCCUGCGGUCGCU